UCCUUGGUGGUCUAGUGGUUAGGAUUCAGUGCUUUCACUGCUGUGGCCUGGGUUUGAUUCCCGGUCAGGGAA